AUUGAACGCUGGCGGCAGGCCUAACACAUGCAAGUCGAACGAGUGGCGGACGGGUGAGUACUGUCUGGGAAACUGCCCGAUGGAGGGGGAUAACUACUGUAAACGGUAGCUAAUACCGCAUACCAUCUGAUGUGCCCAGAUGGGGUUAGCUAGUAGGUGGGGUAACGGCUCACCUCGGCGACGAUCCCUAGCUGGGCUGAGAGGAUGACCAGCCACACUGGAACUGAGACACGGUCCAGACUCCUACGGGAGGCAGCAGGGGGGAAUAUUGCACAAUGGGCGCAAGCCUGAUGCAGCCAUGCCGCGUGUAUGAAGAAGGCCUUCGGGUUGGAAAGUACUUUCAGCGAGGAGGCGUUACUCGCAGAAGAAGCACCGGCUAACUCCGUGCCAGCCGCCGCGGUAAUAC
rnacentral:rRNA from 1 species